AAAAGAAAUGGACUAAACUAAAGCAUUCCCGGGAGUUGAUGCUGUUGUUAUUGAGCUGCUGCUGUUGUCAUUAACCUGCUGUUGCUGCUAUUGUAGGAGAAGAAGGAGCACGCCCAGGAGAAGGAGUAAGCCCAGGAGAAAAAGAACGAGUAGGAGAAGAAGACCCUGGAUUGCUGUUGCUGGAGUGUUGAGGACCUGGGAUCUGUGACGGCCCUGCACCGGCUCCCACUCGCGAACGUCGCGCGGGCGGCCUGCGUCUGCCGCCUCUGCCGCGCCGUCGCCUCUGACCGCGCCGUGCUGGAGGCCGCCUUUCGUGCGCCCUGGGGCGUGCGCCGCGUCCUCGGCGACCCGGCCACCAGGGCCUUCUGGUGUGCUGCCUCCCUCGCCCGAUUCGCUCUCUCGCGCGCCGCUCGUCGCGGGGACACCGUCCCCGGCAUCGUGCUCAAGUAUUUUGUCUAGUUGUGCAGCAAAAUCUGGCUCAAGCCCGGAAGGAGCAGCAAGCUGCUGUAUUGGUGCUAUAGCAGAGGGAUGGGCCUCCUAGCAAAGCUUGCUGGGGGCAUUUUCAGGAUACGAUUGAUGCCUUGAAGAAGUCAGCUCCCCUUGGAUGGUGCAGUGCAGCAAAUCAAUGUCGAUUCAUUCAUUCUUUAAUGCUGGUUUUCAUUCUUCAAAAGUUGGGUGUACAGGAGCUCUAAGAAGAAGAAUCCCGAAGAAAAAACACACCCGGCAAUGCGUUUUAGCUCAUUGGAGAUAGUUAUGUGUGAAUCUAGUUAUGUGUAUAUUUAGUUGUAUUUUAUAGCUGAAUACCAUAAUUGUACUAUGCUUGGCUGUUGUAUGAAAUAUUAUGCCUUAUUGGCUCCUUUUGAAUCAAAUUAUCUAAU